GUGAAAGAUCAUUUUGGUGCCGGGUGAUUGCGUAAUUUCGAUUCAGAAAAAGGACUAACAAUAUCUUUAUGAGGAAUAUUUAGGAGAGCAAACAUAAUUAUUUUAGUUAAGCUGGAGGCUGGACUUGGGAUAUCAUUUAGACAUUUUGUCAUUAAUUACCCUGAAUUCAAGAAACGGAACUCAUUGCAGGCCACUUGAGGAAGAAACCGUCACAAUAUUUCAAAAAGGAUUCUAUUGAUGAUAAAAACUCAAGAUUUACAAAAAUAACGCAUAUGUACUUUAAAUCCUGUCAGAAGAAUCAGUGAACUCGUAAUAUUGAUAUUCAAAUCUGAUUUUAAACAAACCUUGCCAUCACCCGGUGCUAAAUUUUGUUGGAACGACUUGUAUCAAACAGAGAAAGAGCUGAGCGGGGAACAAUAUUUCCCAAAAAAUUUCUUGAGGAUAUUUUGGUGAAGGUAGACAAGAUGUACGCAUAUUUGGUUGUAUUCUUGGUUGUCUGCCUGAUAUGCCCUAACCUGGUGCUUGCUGAAGAGGGCGAUGAUGCGUACGCGGCCACGAAGCCAUUCGUACCCAUUCCGGCGGAAAUCCAGGGUUGGGCAACGAUGAACCCUACAUUCAAAGGUGCAGCACUGCUAGUUCCAAAUACCAAAUCAGAAGACUACGGGGGGAAAUGUCUCAAUCCUAAAGAUCCAGACAUGAAUGGAGUCGACUGUUUCCUUAAAUGCAAGCUACUUCAAGUCAAAUAUCAGAAGGAGGAAAUAGAGACCAGCUGCCAAGGGUUUAACUUCGGAGGCAAGGAUUUCAACUCUGCUGGAAAGUGCCAAUUGAUAGCGCCCUUCGUCGGUGAGAAAGAUGAAAUGGCACCGUUUCUUAUUAAAGGAAAAAAGGCUCAUGGAAUGAAAUUUUAUGAAAUGAAGUGUCCUGCUGAUGAGAAUGGCAAGCCUCAGAAGUGGUCCAGCGGGAUGUGCAUGUCAACGGAGGACUCUUAGACAGCAGAUACGGGAAGGCGUCUGGAAUGAAUGUGACACGUGACACGCCGCGGUGUCGCAUCGAGUUCAUGCUGUACGAAAGUACCAGCAAAUUGAUAUACAAACCGGGAUACAAUGUUCGCUUAUAUAUUCGUGAGUCCAGCUUCCAGUUGUUGUUGUUUUUUGUCGUUUUGACGGGCCCAGUGCUUUGCGAUCAUCCGAUAUUUCCUGCACCUCCGGGAUUUCAGCAUCUGAACGUCUUAUCAUCGAAGUAGAUAGAAAAGAUAGAAUUUAUAGUUGGAAUUUGAAAUCACGGGGAUGAAGAAAAGAAAAAGUAGUGCUUCGACAUACCAUACUCUAUUACCCACACUUAGUUUAAUUGUGAAGAGUUUUCUAUGUAACAACACGCCGGGAAGCAGUGUACAUGUCUGUACAUCGACUAAGCAUUCUUAUUCAAAUCUAUUUCGGGAGAACAUUUAUAACAGUUAGGAAAUGGGACUCAUCUUCAGUACCAGACAUUUGAUCAGAAUCAGGACUCUAACCGUAACGUGAUGGUCUUAUUGCCGGGAAAAAGAUGUGCUUUCAUAAUUAUUGUUGUCGAGUGACGUCCACCAUAAGAGAAUUGGCGGUUUUUGCUUCGGUUGUGCACGGAGAGAGAAAAGAAUAUAGUUUCUCGCUCACCUAAUUGUCCACAGCUUAUCUGGUGGAGCCGUUUUCGGUCCUGAUGCAUUGUUUUCUAUCUGCAAUACUUAUUUAAGUAAAACUGUAGAUCACGAAUGAAACAGAAAAUUGUGGCAAAAAAUAAUUGAAUAAUAUAUUUAAGUGAAAUUUCAUGAAAAAUCGGAAGCCACAUUUGGUGUCCCUGACCUCGAAUUUUGCUGCCAAACUAAAUUUAUAGUACGUUAUAUCUACAUGGACCUUUCUUUAGUUGCCUUUUUCACAAGCUUUGUUUUGCUUGUUUCAUUGCAAACGUUUAACAAAUAGGAAUUAAGAAUUAUUUUCCUAUUUAUUCUUGCUGUCCUAUCAAAUAAACGUCCCGAGUCCAACUCCAUAUGUCGCCGAGAUGACGACCAAGACAUUGUGAUGUUUAAACAGUAUCAAUUCCCAAAUUGAGAACAUCUUGUCCAAUUGAGAACUUGUUUAACUCCAAGUGCGUUUCAAUUUUGUUAUUCAUAUAAUUAUUACAUUUGUCCUCUUAUAAGUUGCACAUAUCAUAGUAUUGUAUAAGCCUAAAAGACCCUUGUCAGUUAUUGAUGACGUCCAACCAAUUAGAAAUUUGAUGACUUGCUUAGCCUCGCUGCAUCAACGCAAAUUCAAUUCCCAUUGAGAUCCCGAAAAAAGGUAGGGUUACAAAACGGUCAAAGUUAGUCAUGAUGUCAGGAAACCAUUUUGUUAUUCAAUUGUUUUUCUUGUAUGUUAGAAAGGAUUGAUAAAGUAGGCACCACGAAUCAAGAUUCUGAUUGCAUUAAGUUGUUAAAUUUAUUUCAAACAGUUUUUGCACAAAGAGUAAAAUCGUACCUUAAAUAAAACGAAGUACAUUUAGGUUAGAGUUUUUGCUAUAGUCGACCUAGGUAAAGUUGUGGCUCUCAGUCUUUUGUAAUAGUUAUCUUAAACUCUAAUCACGUACAUUCUCCUCAGGUGCAUCACACAGCCAUGUACAUCUCUGAUAUUGAAUCUUGUAAGUUUGCUACAAGUAACAAAAACAACUGUUAAAGGGAAGUGUUGAAAAUGUAGACCCGUGUAAAUCUUGUUUUCAACAACUUGAGAUAGUACAUGUCUCAUCUGAUCUGAUUUUCUACCGUUUCUAUUAAGAAAACAAAGGUAUAUUACAGUAAUGAUACAAUUAAGUGAUUAAAUUAAAUUUUGUAAGUAAUUAUAAUCCUAAUUGUGCUUUGAUAGCAUGCAAAGGUAAACUUCCAUUCACACAACAUCCAGUACAAACCACCAUAGAAGUAUUUCAAGACAUUUGUUUUAUGGUUCUUUCAAUGUCUUUCUAAAGACACCUACUAAACCCUAGAUGUUUACCAAAGAUGCCCUAGGAUAAAACUAGCUAUUAAAGCUCUGAAAUAAGCUUUCGACAUUCUCGAGACAAUGUGAAUGUCCCAGAUCAUUGUCAGUUAAAACCCUAGAUUUUGUAACUUAUUGCACAUAAUCAUGCGUUUAAUGCAUUAAGACAGCCGGUAUAUUAAUUACAUGUAUUAAAUGUUUUUGUCCACAGUAUUUCUUAACAAAGAUGACACGAAAGGAUACGGUAACGUACGUCUCAGGUCUCUGAUCAUAACAAAUAACACCUUUUGGGAACUGUUAUGCUAUACAAAUCAUUGCUUUAAAUUUCAGAUUAACACGAGUAUAUAGAUGUAUGCCCAAUCAAGGAGCUUGGCACAUUCGUAUGUCCACCGUAAACCUCCGAGUCUUAAUAUUUGCCAUAAGCGCCAGUUUUUGCAAGUAGGCCUACAUGUAAAUUUCUGAAAAAAUAAAAAUAAAAAAAUUUUCGCAGCGAUCUUUCUUUCGGAGAAUUACGACAUUUCGUUUGGUUUUUCCAAUCAAAGAAAUAUUUCGAAAUUUUUAUUUCUACGAGUACAAUUUAUUCGCGAAAUUCGCAAAAAAGAAAUAACCACAUAAAUUAGACGGUUUCCAAUACAUGAAUAUGUUGCUGGUAAAGAUUGUAAGUGAAGAACAAUUCUGACAGGCGAAUCAAAUAAAAUUUGAGUUUUUAAAAAAUUAAUUUUUUUUAUUACAGGAAGAAAACGGUUAUGUGUAGGCUACAAAUAAUUCAAUCCAUGUUAACUCAGCAAAUUAUAGCUAAAGAUAGGUAAUAUCAUUUACGUUGUAGUUAUUGUAGUAUUCUUUCUUCUUCUUUGAAUUUUUAUCAACACUGCUGGGUCAUGUCCAUUUUCAAUAUAAUGGUACAUUUGUUUUGAAAUUGUUUAUUGCAACUGAAUAGAUUGAAAUUAAUCAAUUCUAUGAACGGCACAUCCGACAUCGCAAGCAAAAGCAAAAUGUUCGGUUUGGGUGCAAUGAAGCAAAUAUAAAAAAACUGCGACACGAGCGUUCUCGCGAUCGCAGUCACUGGAAACAUGCCCAAUAGUCACGACGAUCUACACCACGAUGGGUAAAGGUAUUGGUUUACCUUUGCAACACAAUAGAAACAAGGCCUUCCCAUUACUGUGUUGGAGGGGUACAAUCCUAUAAAAUAAUAAAUGCGGGCCUACGCCCCUCAAAAUGAACUAAUCUUUGGUAGGUUAUAUUCUAUGUUUUCUUUCCAGGUUAGCACGUAGUUUUAUGAAAAAGGCAUUUACACGUCGACAGUGGAAAAUGGUUCAUUAUAAUGCAAUCUAUUCAGUAAUAUUCGGAGAAAUAGUUUACUAUUGAAAAUAGCGUUUUACAUUAAUAGCGUUUGCGCUACGUUUGUAUUUACAAUGUAUAGUUACAAUCUAUGAGGCUCUAAACGACGUUCUUUCAUUCGUUGUGAUACAUAGUAGUAUCAUACAUUUUCCAGUUUCGAUAUUUUAAAACGUUUCACCCGUACCGUAUUCAAAAUGGAUGUCAUUGUUGUCCUGCCAUGUACAGGUCCAAUUUUAUUGUUUAUUUCUUCAUCUUAGUAUAUAAUAUGUAGGUUCUCAUGGCGAUAUACAUAGAAGUUUGAAGUUCUUUCUCCUUGAGAACCGAUCAACUCCAAAAACGAUGUUAUCAAACUCGGCGCUCCCGAGUGAUAUGAUACAAAGGUAAUGUCAAUAAUCAAAAUGUUUUUCUGGUAUUUUUUUCCGACCAUCUAUCGACCCAUUAACAUGUAUACCUUUCUCAGUUUCAUCAUGUCGGUGUGCAAGGGAUAGUAGUCCUAGGGCUGAUAGUCCGUGUAACAAUAGCCCGCAUUGCUAAAUGUUUUGGUUAGGGUUAGCGGUACAAUAGAUCAUGCUGCUUAAUUGGUCAAAUGCAAUGCUACCGGACUAUGACUCCAGGGGGACUAUAUCCGCUGUCACACCGGGGAUAAUUGUAUUGUACAAUCUACAUGUCUUUGCUCAAAUAAUCUACACCCUUAUGCAUCGUAUACCUUUUGGUGAAUAUCUCUCUCUGCCCUCUCAUAGACAAGUCUCUAACAUUGCUUACAUGUAUAUAAUCUGCGUUUUAAACGGGCAUAUUCCGCUUAUAUCAUGGCAACAUCAGAUUCAUCAUAUCGUCAACUGACUCGAAUAUGCUUAUAAGUUAUGGGUAUAUUCGAGUCAGUUGAGGAUUUUUGAACUAAUGAUUGUUUUGAUUUCUCAUCUAUUAAAAGCAACUGUCGAAUAUAACACCAAGUAUGUGUUAUAAGUGCGAAAUGCCAGGACAAUUUAUCGCUCCAUUGAUUAAAAACAGACCCUUAUGCAUGUGAUCUUGAGCGAUACGUUUUUUGAUGUAAUAUACAGGUAACAAUUGUUUUGUUGAUUGUUAUAUAAUGUCACGUGGUACAAUUUUAGGCCCGGUGUAGAAGUUUAAAAUGUCCUGGGAUAGAAUGUCCGGGAAACAAUGGAUUAUAUUAUGCGCUUUAAUCUCUGAGCUAUUGGCGGUCAUGGCCUCUAUAGAACCAGAUAGCGGAAUACAAUAGGCCGGACACUUUUUCCAGGGGGACAUUUUCUUCUUUUACACCGGGACAAGAAUAAUUGUGGACAGUUGUACUGAGUCUACAAUGAAAAGUACCACAGCACCUUUCUUAUUUCUGCUCCGGACUCGACCGUAUCUUACAGGCAAGGCUCCAACUGAUUACACCCUCCACUGGAUAGCGCUUACAAUUUAAUUGUGAUAUAGAUAUUACAGACCAUGUUGUUGUAUGUAGAGUAUCAUAAUUGAGAAUAUAUAUUGAGUGCUUUAAGAAAUAUUGUCUAAUGUCCUUAUUGAGAAUAAAUUUAUCGCUCUAUAAAA